GUCUGCAGCCGCCACCACCCUGAACCCGCCCGAUCUCGUCUAAUCUCGGGAGCUAAGCAGGGUCGGGCCUGGUUAGUACUUGGAUGGGAGACCGCCUGGGAAUACCAGGUGCUGUAGGCU
rnacentral:rRNA from 1 species